rnacentral:rRNA from 1 species
GAUGAACGCUGGCGGCGUGCCUAAUACAUGCAAGUCGAGCGAACAGAUGAGGAGCUUGCUCCUCUGACGUUAGCGGCGGACGGGUGAGUAACACGUGGAUAACCUACCUAUAAGACUGGGAUAACUUCGGGAAACCGGAGCUAAUACCGGAUAAUAUAUUGAACCGCAUGGUUCAAUAGUGAAAGACGGUUUUGCUGUCACUUAUAGAUGGAUCCGCGCCGCAUUAGCUAGUUGGUAAGGUAACGGCUCACCAAGGCAACGAUGCGUAGCCGACCUGAGAGGGUGAUCGGCCACACUGGAACUGAGACGCGGUCCAGACUCCUACGGGAGGCAGCAGUAGGGAAUCUUCCGCAAUGGGCGAAAGCCUGACGGAGCAACGCCGCGUGAGUGAUGAAGGUCUUCGGAUCGUAAAACUCUGUUAUUAGGGAAGAACAAAUGUGUAAGUAACUAUGCACGUCUUGACGGUACCUAAUCAGAAAGCCACGGCUAACUACGUG